rnacentral:rRNA from 1 species
UACAGAGGGGGCAAGCGUUAUUCGGAAUUAUUGGGCGUAAAGGGCGCGUAGGCGGCUUGGCAAGUGGAAGGUGAAAUCCCUCGGCUUAACCGAGGAACUGCCCUCCAAACUGCUUCGCUUGAGACCGGGAGAGGUGAGUGGAAUUCCCAGUGUAGCGGUGAAAUGCGUAGAUAUUGGAAGGAACACCAGUGGCGAAGGCGGCUCACUGGACCGGUACUGACGCUGAUGCGCGAAAGCGUGGGGAGCAAACAGG